CGCACGGGUGAGUAACACGUAUCCAACCUGCCGUCUACUCUUGGCCAGCCUUCUGAAAGGAAGAUUAAUCCAGGAUGGCAUCAUGAGUUCACAUGUCCGCAUGAUUAAAGGUAUUUUCCGGUAGACGAUGGGGAUGCGUUCCAUUAGAUAGUAGGCGGGGUAACGGCCCACCUAGUCAACGAUGGAUAGGGGUUCUGAGAGGAGGGUCCCCCACAUUGGAACUGAGACACGGUCCAA
rnacentral:rRNA from 1 species